rnacentral:rRNA from 1 species
GAUGAACGCUGGCGGCGUGCUUAACACAUGCAAGUCGAACGGAAAGGCUCCUGCUUGCAGGGGUACUCGAGUGGCGAACGGGUGAGUAACACGUGGGUGAUCUGCCCUGCACUUCGGGAUAAGCCUGGGAAACUGGGUCUAAUACCGGAUAGGACGAUGGUUUGGAUGCCAUUGUGGAAAGUUUUUCGGUGUGGGAUGAGCUCGCGGCCUAUCAGCUUGUUGGUGGGGUAAUGGCCUACCAAGGCGUCGACGGGUAGCCGGCCUGAGAGGGUGUACGGCCACAGUGGGCCUGAGAGAGGCCCCAGUCGCGAAGGGGGGACAGCGGGGGGAAUUUUGACCCAGCGGGGCAGGGUUUGUGAAGGCGGUGCGCGGGGGGGAAGGCAGUCUUAGGGGUGAUAAACUCCUUUAGGCGGGGACGAAGCUAAGUUGACGGUACCUGAAAAAGAAGCACCGGCUAACUUCGUG